GGCAGGUGGAAAUGUCACCCUGCCGCCAUCCCGCAGCCACAGAGGAAAUCAUCAAUCAAGCUGUUCAGAGGAAGGAAUGAGGAGUGAAUCGUCCCGGAAUGUCUCUUUACAAGGAAUUUUUGGAACAGUUUAUUUUUUGUAAAUAGACACAAAUUCCUGAACUAUUAUCUCUGCAGAGCCUCCUCCUCCCCAGUUAACUCCCAUAAAAUGAGGCUUUUUAAGGCCUGAAGAAGUUUGUGGUCUCAAACCUCCUUUGUCUCAGCUCAGCUGUGUCCGUUGAGCUAAAAUCAAAAUGAAAAUAAAAAUAAAAAUGUUGUUUUUCUCCUCA